rnacentral:rRNA from 1 species
GACGAACGCUGGCGGCGUGCUUAACACAUGCAAGUCGAACGCUGAAGCCCUGGCUUUUGUUGGGUUGGAUGAGUGGCGAACGGGUGAGUAACACGUGAGUAACCUGCCCUCUUCUUUGGGAUAACGCCCGGAAACGGGUGCUAAUACUGGAUAUUCACUGAUCUUCGCAUGGGGGAUGGUGGAAAGGUUUGUUCUGGUGGGGGAUGGGCUCGCGGCCUAUCAGCUUGUUGGUGGGGUGAUGGCCUACCAAGGCUUUGACGGGUAGCCGGCCUGAGAGGGUGACCGGUCACAUUGGGACUGAGAUACGGCCCAGACUCCUACGGGAGGCAGCAGUGGGGAAUAUUGCACAAUGGGCGAAAGCCUGAUGCAGCGACGCCGCGUGAGGGAUGGAGGCCUUCGGGUUGUAAACCUCUUUCGCUCAUGGUCAAGCCGCAACUGUGGGUUGUGGUGAGGGUAGUGGGUAAAGAAGCGCCGGCUAACUACGUG